rnacentral:tRNA from 2 species
GGCGGCGUAGCUCAGCUGGUCAGAGCAUUCGGUUCAUACCCGGAGUGUCACCUGUUCGAAUCAGGUCGCCGCUACCA